GACUGGCACUCCACGGGCAGCUCGCAGUACUUGCUGUUGCAUUGCGGGCAGUGGUGGCCAGUAGUGGUCAGUUCACUGGGCUCCUCCAAGUUCUCUAUGUGGCACAUGCACAUGGACAAUGGCGCGUCCUUGCCCUCAACUUCAUUCUUUGUGUGCGGGAAGCCCAUGCGAAUAAGCGAGUUGUGCUGAGUCUUAGCGGCGGGCGGUGGAUCUACCUGAGACAUGAGUUGAUCCCGAAAAUGUGCAUCAUCCAAAACAGCCCCGAAGGUGCCCAUUGUUUGCUGAGUGAGGUAGCGGGCCACGUGAAUCUCAGCGGACAGGGAAAUAACCGAGCAGCGUAUGCCCUCCUUUUUUAACUCGUCGAUGGUGAGGUUAAUAUCGACAGGAUCACAUGUGGUGAGCGAGCCCAUGAUAAUGACGAUCUCUCGGGAGGCGUGCGACGGCACCACCUUAAGCGAUUUUAGGGCCAGAUCUAGGCCAUUUUGCAGCGAAGGCUCGCUGGUCAAGGACACGUUAGCCAAGCUAAACAAAAAGGGGAUAUAAAUGGAGAACGCUGGUUUGAUUCGGUUCUUACCUCUCUAGCGCUUUGAGGUGCACGCGCGAAGUGCCGGUAAGUUCGGUCACCUUCUCCGCUCGCUUAGCUUUUAGCGCUAUGAGUCCUAAUUGGCUGAUGGGGUUCUGAUCGAAGAACUCCUCGAUAAACAGCUCCAGCAGCUUGACGGUGCACCGCAGUCGUGUGGGUUUCAAAUCAGGCACGCUCAUGGACUCAGAGCAAUCGAGCACAACGAACAUGUGGCGCAUCAUGCCCAGGCGGUUCUGCUUGGACUUUUGAGCCUGCCUCUGGCGUUUGGCCUUCUGAAUGAUCUCUGCAAUGGCUCCAUCCAGCAUCCCAUCCUCGUCGUCCUUGAUGGCCUCCCUAAUAGGAUUAAAAGUAAGUGCGGGCUUACAUUGUCACGCACACCAUCGCACCAUGUCUUUUCAUAGCCCGUUUCCCAGCGGUACUCCUUCUGGUCCUCUUGCUCAUCGUCGGCCAUACUUGCAGUCCUGAUGCACUACCAAGUCAAAUCAAGAAAGAAAAGCAAUUAACGCUAAAUAAAAUGCGCCGGCUAAUGUAACAGUGUGUACACACAGGGCCUACGUU
ensembl:ncRNA asRNA:CR45970 antisense RNA:CR45970